GACGAACGCUGGCGGCGUGCUUAACACAUGCAAGUCGAACGGAAAGGCCCUGCUUUUGUGGGGUGCUCGAGUGGCGAACGGGUGAGUAACACGUGAGUAACCUGCCCUUGACUUUGGGAUAACUUCAGGAAACUGUGGCUAAUACCGGAUAGGAGCUCCUGCUGCAUGGUGGGGGUUGGAAAGUUUCGGCGGUUGGGGAUGGAAUCGCGGCUUAUCAGCUUGUUGGUGGGGUAGUGGCUUACCAAGGCUUUGACGGGUAGCCGGCCUGAGAGGGUGACCGGCCACAUUGGGACUGAGAUACGGCCCAGACUCCUACGGGAGGCAGCAGUGGGGAAUAUUGCACAAUGGGCGGAAGCCUGAUGCAGCAACGCCGCGUGCGGGAUGACGGCCUUCGGGUUGUAAACCGCUUUCGCCUGUGACGAAGCGUGAGUGACGGUAAUGGGUAAAGAAGCACCGGCUAACUACGUG
rnacentral:rRNA from 1 species